rnacentral:rRNA from 1 species
GAUGAACGCUGACAGAAUGCUUAACACAUCAGCAAUUGAUUGGUGGCGGACGGGUGAGUAACGCGUAGAGAACUUGCCUCACAGCUAGGGACAACAUCUGGAAACGAAGGCUAAUACCUAUUACUGUGGGAGAGCUUUGCGUCACAGUAGCUGGUUGGAGAGGUAACGGCUCACCAAGGCGAUGAUGGGUAGCCGGCCUGAGAGGGUGAUCGGCUCCAAGGGGAUAGAGACACGGCCCUUACGCCAUCGGGAGGCAGCAGUGGGGAAUAUUGGACAAUGGACCAAAGUCUGAUCCAGGAAUUCGGUUUGCACGAUGAAGUUUUCGGAAUGUAAAGUGGUUUCAGUUGGGAAGCGGUACCAACAGAAGAAGUGACGGCUAAAUACGUGCCAGCAGCCGCGGUAAUUC